rnacentral:lncRNA from 1 species
CCCAUUUUGUUUUUGUUGUCAUACAACUUAAACAUAAUGGGCUUUGUGGGCCAAAACACUUUUAGGCCCCGAAACCCAAAACCAACUUAAAAGCCCAAUACGAACCUUUCGUAAAAUUAAUUAAGUAAUUAAUUAAUCUUGACCAUUCUCAAUUAAACCAUUUAAUUGUUUAUCCAUCUCAUUUAUAUUUCUUCACUUUCAUCCUUACUCGGUGUACGAUCCAUUAGGUUCCAAUUAGCGAGGCAGUGGGCGAUUGUUACUCUUAACGAUCGAUUGUGAAUUGAAACAACAUUUCAAUUCUCCCUUUGUUGAAGAUUAGUGUUUGCUAAUCUUCAGGGCUUCCACAAACCAUGAGUGACACCUAGUAUCAUGUCAUGGCUACCCAAGCUAAAUAGAAUUGGUUGGAGAACCUAUCCAGUUACAAUUUGAAUGCAAUAUGGUCAUUCUCUAAUACAAUACUUUUAAUCACAUUGUUUGAGUGAUAGUUUGUUUCAUGUCUACUAUCCAAUGUAAUACUUAUCUAUAUGAUUCAAUUGAAUAUGAUUUGGAACAUACUUCCUAAGUCAUAUUCGUAUGCUUUGGCCAAACACUCCCGAAUCAUAUCUUAGAGUAUUCUCCUUCCACUAUGGAAGGUUAGAGAUCCCUUGUUGUGCAUUCAUAUGCCUACUUGACUAGAUAGCUUAACCCCAACAAUGCCGUGGACACUCUCGAUGGAAUGCCUUUGACAUGAUCAAAGAUCAAGGUGAAGGGAAAAUUAUGAGAUUAACACAUGGGAUUUCUAAAUGACUAGCAUGCAUAUACAAUUCAAAAUUUAUAUACAUGAGCAACAGAAGCAAUUUAUCAAAUAAUAUCAAAGCUAUAGUCAUGCAAAUCCCCUUCAAGGUUCAUAGGUUUAUAUAUAAUGCAUCAAAACAUUUUAGUAAAGAACAAAGUGAAAGUUUAGUCUUAUACCUCUUGAUCUAGACUUGAGACCAAGGAUGGACCACCUCCAAGCCCUUUGUUCCUUGAAGUCCUUGAGCCUAGCCUCCCUCCUUGCCUCCUCCACUUUGUUAGUAAGAGUGCUCCAAGGUUCUCCUUAAGUCUCCAAAGGAGAAGACCUCUAAAGAUCCACACCCACUAGUGUAGUGAGAUGGAUGGAGGAAUAACCAAAAGGGUGAAAGAUUGUUAGUAAAUUCACCCUCUAGGUGGCCGGCCUUUGUGGUUUUAGAGAGCUAUUUUCUUUUGCCUCUUUGUUGUUCAAAAACACACAAAAACCCUAAUGAACUUUGUGCUAUAAAGUUCCUUAUAUAGACAAAAAGAAACCUAGUCAACAACUUGACUAAAUAUCUCUCCCAAACCCUUUAAGUGGCCGGCCCUUUAGUGUUUGGUUUGGGCUUUGGGCUUUUAUUAUUUCAAGUCAUCCUAUGCUUGAAUAAAAGCCCAAUGGGUUUAGGCCCAAUGGGCCCAAUUAAACCCGAACGUUUCUUUAAGCCCAAAACGAUCUUUUAUCGCUUUUAUGAUUUCUUUAGACUUUCUAUAUUAAUCACAACACUUAAUUAAUCCAAUUAAUUAUUUCCAUCAUCCAUAAAUUACUCACUACAAGAGUGUAUCGGUGUACAAUCAUUUUAGGUUCUAAUUAGCAAGGCAGUGAGGUGAUUGACAUCAAUCCAAUUGAUUAUAUUUAAUCCAAUCACUUAGUGAAUUAAAACUUCAUUUUAAUUCACCUUUCUUCUUUGAUGACUACAUUUAAUCAUCUAGAAGAACUCAUAAGCUAUGAGUGACAUCUAACCAUAUGUCAUAGCUACCCAAGCUAAUGUAGAAGUUGUUCGGAGAACCUAUUCAGUUGGAAUUACAAUGUAAUUCGAUCCUUCUCUAAAACAAUACUCUCAAUCACAUUACUAGGGUAUGGAUAUAUUAUGUCAAACCCCUAAUGUGAUUAUUCCUUCUUAUAUGAUUCUAUUGAGUCGUAUAGGAACGCUUUCCUUUAUUAUGCUCGAUACUUCGGCCGAAGAUUCCCGAAUCAUAUCUUAGAGUAUUCUUCCUCUCUAAUCGAGGAUUAGAGAUUCCUUGUUGCGCAUUCACUUGCCUUCAUGACUAAGUGGCUUAACCCCAAUCAUGCCGUGGACAUCCGCGAAUGGGGUGACUUUGACAUAAUCAAAGAUUAAGUACUUACCCACAAGACAACGACGAUGCCUCAGGUCAAAUGACUACUUACAUUAUUCCAACCAUUAGAGUUACUUGCUUGACAUGUGAGUAGACCUCCAUGCAAGUACUCUCGUUUGAUUGUGUUCAGUGAACUCAUUCUCUUAAUGAGCACCUACAUACUUGUCUUAGUGUCACAACACGAAUGGGAUGAGACUUUCCAUCCUUCCAUUUGAAGCGGACACAGUAUGUACCGGUCUAAGCAUUGUCAGUUUCCCUCCGAUAAUCCAAUGACUAGGAACCUUUUGGACAUAAUGGUUAUGUGAAUAAGGUCUCUGUAGUCUAACAUCAUUAGAUUACUUCUUCAAUCGAUCCAUUAUCCAUGGAUACACUAUUUAGGACAUAUAUCGUUUAUUGAGAUAGUCCUAAUUCGUGUCUUUGCCAUUUGAUAUAUAAGAGUCAUCCAUACAUCGAUUCAUUUGUCCUGAAAGGUUUCUUCCAAAGAUUGACUUUCAGGGCAUAUUUCCAACACAAGGACCUAACCAUUAGACAUCUAUGAUGCCUGAAGUCAAAGGACUACUUUGCAUAUUGCAACUUAUGAGUUCUUACAUGACAUGUAUGUUCGAACUCUCUUUUGAUCAUUGUUCAGUGUACUCGAUUACUCUUUCAAGCACCUAUGUGUUUGUCUUAGUGUCCAACACUAAAUGACUUGAGACUAGUCAUACUCACGCUUGAGUUGACAUAACACAUACUAACCUUAGCGGAUUGUCAAUGCCCAAUUAGCAAUCCUAUGGCUAGGAACGUUUUAGGAAUGAACAUAAGAGAAAGGUCUCGUUAAUCUAACUUACUUCAAUCACUUCUCUCUUAGAUCAAAUACAUUCCUUGGAUUCCCUUAUUGCUUAAACACAUGAUACAAUAAAUUGUGAUUAACAAUAAGCUUUGCCCUUCAUUAAACAUAUAAUAGUUUAAUACAUUAAGUAUUCCAAAAGCUAUUACAUCAAAUGAGUGGCUUUGUGGGCAUACUUCCAACAAUUCCCUGUCCCUCCAUCAUUUCAGAAUUCAUGCAUCAUUACAUUGAAUCAUUGCACUCAAUUGCUACACUAUUCCUUGUUCCCUCCAUCAUUUCAGAUUUUAUGCAUCAUUACAUUAAAUCAUUGCACUCAAUUGCUACACCAUUCCUUGUCCCCUCCAUCAUUUCAUAUUUCAUGCAUCAUUGCACUCAAUUGCUACACCACUCCAUAUUCCCCUCCAUUGCCAUGCACUUCCUCUAUAAAAGGAAGUAUGUGUAACAUAAAUUUAGUUCAUACUUAGUUAGA